rnacentral:rRNA from 1 species
CGGGCCCGCACAAGCAGCGGAGCGUGUGGUUUAAUUCGAUGCUACACGAAGAACCUUACCUGGGUUUGACAUGUACGUAGUAGUGAACCGAAAGGGGAACGAGCCUUCGGGCAGCGUACACAGGUGCUGCAUGGCUGUCGUCAGCUCGUGCCGUGAGGUGUUGGGUUAAGUCCCGCAACGAGCGCAACCCUCAUCGCUAGUUACAUGUGUCUAGCGAGACUGCCAGGUUAACCCUGGAGGAAGGUGGGGAUGACGUCAAGUCAGCAUGGCCUUUAUGCCCAGGGCUACACACACGCUACAAUGGUCGGUACAAUGGGAUGCCAAGCCGUGAGGCGGAGCAAAUCCUCAAAGCCGGCCUCAGUUCGAAUUGGAGGCUGCAACUCGCCUCCAUGAAGUCGGAGUUGCUAGUAACCGCAGGUCAGCUAUACUGCGGUGAAUACGUUCCCGGGGCUU